rnacentral:lncRNA from 1 species
AUGGGCUGCAAGCGACCGGCCACGCCGCGGGGCCUCCCGGAGGAGCAAGGCCUGAGUGCGCCGACACUCCCGCGCUGCCCAGCCCCAGUAGCCCGAGGCACUGGGGAGGGCGCGAGCCGGAGAAGAAAGGCUCUUCCUGCGGGUGAGUCCGGCUCCGCGGAGCACACCAGUAGCAGGAAAGCGAAUGCGGCGGCCCGACCGUGCCCACGCCACGCUGGGUCCCUGGUGCCCAAGGCGCGCCCCAAUCAGCCCCUUCUACGAAACUUUCUUUUUUGCUUCGCCCCACCCGAAAAGUGCGGCCCGGGUGAGGGCGCCGAGGACAGCCGGCGCAGGGAGAGGAGGAAGUGGUGCCCGCGGGAGCGCGGCCGGGCAGAGGAAAUGCCCGCGCCGCCCGCCCCCGCCCUUGCAGCCCGCCCCGGCCCCCCGCCCCGCCGCGACUUUGGCGGGCCGAGCCCCGCGCGCCACUGGCGGCGGCGGCGGCAGAUGUGGCCCCGGCUGCCCCAAGGAGCCAACAAUGCCGGGCCGGCAAAACAAAAGGGAUCCGCUUCGCCUCCUUCCCGGCCUCUCACUUACACUCUCGGGAGCCGCACGGGAUCCCGGGCCGACAGGGGCGCGCCCCCAGGGGCCCCGAGCCACGCGCGCCCGACUUGUCCCCGCCGACCCGUCCUCUCCUUCCCCUCCACCCCCGCCCGCCGCACGCCCGCCUCACAGGCGCAAGGCCUGCCGCACCCCGGUACGCUCGGACUCCUGGUCCCCAGGGAUCCGGCCGUAUUGUCCCCGCGGCGCGCCGCGCGCUCGUCCAAGAUCGCCAGCGGCCCCCGCGCGCCUACCCACCCGGCUCCAGGAGCAAGCCGGGGGCGCCUAGGAAACCGUCGCCAGACGCCGCCGCCGCUGCCCUCCGGACGCCGCUGCGCUCCGGGUUUUUCUUUCCUUUUUUUUCCAAUCCUGAUGGGAAGGAAGGUGACCGCCUACUUCGCAUUCAUCAACUCUCAUCACAACAACAAAAAUCCUGGCGCAAAGGGCGGCCAGCAGGCGCAAUCGGUGGCGAGGGGCGGCGGGCGAUAA